rnacentral:misc_RNA from 1 species
AACUUUCGGCAACGGAUCACUUGGCUCUCGCAUCGAUGAAGAACGCAGCGAAAUGCGAUAAGUAAUCUGAAUUGCAGAAUUCAGUGAAUCAUCGAAUCUUUGAACGCAGCUUGCGCUCCUUGGUAUUCCGAGGAGCAUGCCUGUUUGAGUGUCAUUAAAUUCUCAACUCUCCUGUACUUUGUUGUAAAGGAGAGCUUGGACUGUGGAGGCUUGCUGGCCACUUGUUGAGGUCAGCUCCUCUGAAAUGCAUUAGCGGAACCAUUUGCGAUCUGCCACAAGUGUGAUAAAUUAUCUACACUAGCGAGGGGAUUGCUCUCAGUGUUCAGCUUCUAAUCGUCCUCAUUUUGCUGGACAAUUUCUUGAAUGCUUGACCUCAAAUCAGGUAGGACUACCCGCUGAACUUAAGCAUAUCAAUAAGCGGAGGCU